rnacentral:rRNA from 1 species
UACAGAGGGUGCGAGCGUUGUUCGGAAUUAUUGGGCGUAAAGGGCGCGUAGGCGGCGCCACAAGUCACUUGUGAAAACUCUGGGCUCAACCCAGAGCCUGCAGGCGAAACUGUGGUGCUGGAGUAUGGGAGAGGUGCGUGGAAUUCCCGGUGUAGCGGUGAAAUGCGCAGAUAUCAGGAGGAACACCAAUGGCGAAGGCAGCUCGCUGGGACGGUACUGACGCUGAGACGCGAAAGCGUGGGGAGCAAACAGG